rnacentral:rRNA from 1 species
AAUAAAUAAAAUAGUGAUUGUCGGUAAUUGUUGUGGUGAAUGUAGGAGGGGUGGUCAUAAAAGCAGGCGACAAUUGAAUUGGAAUUGCUCUCCAUAUGGGAAAAUGUUGCAUUUUGUAUUCCUCCAUUACUGUUCUACUCUUGUCAUUCGUGAAUGUGCCUUUUUUGACUACAUCCAUCUCGUCUACAAUUUUGCUUCACAAAUCACUAAGCAAUUAACAUGAGUUACACGCACGCCAAUGAAAAUAUAUAUAUAUACUUGCAAUUAAAGUUUGAUGGUGCUGCUGGAGCUCUCUCCUUUGGUAGGAUUAAGGGUCUAAGUUUCUGGGGGCGGCAUUUAGUUUCUUCUCAUGCUCUUAGACAGUCAGUGUCACCCACAGCAAUCAUCUGCCUUUCAUGCAAUAGUCUGCCAUUUAUAUUUAUUCAAAAUACCACCACAAGAAACAUUUUACUUACCAACUAGAUUUAAUUCCAAAUCCAAUCAUGUCUUGUCUAUUCUUCUUCAUCUUUGUGUGCCUGGCCAUGCAUGCAUGCAAUGCACGACAUCUUGGAGUAGUCAUGGACGACAAUGAUGUAUCCAAUAAGAAACAUCUUUUUUCUACCAAGGUAAACCUUUCUUCUCUCACUACUAAUACCCUUAAUUGAUUUGUGUUUCUUAUUUGGGAUUUGUUAUACAUAAUUGCAGGUGAUGGGAAGUGUUAAACGGCUGAACAAGGAGCAACCGACAGAAACAUCACUUAAAAGCAUAGUUUUCCGUGAGAGGAAGGGAAGAGAAGAAAGGUCAAAGACAGCAGUAGGUGUUUCAGCUUCGGCCAAGGAGUUGGAUGACCGUAGUGGGUUUUUCUCUGAUUAUUCCAGACCUAGAACACGCCCUCCUUCUCACAAUUGAACUGUUGCCUCCAUUGUUAUUACUUACACCAUACUAUUAUUUGUUUUCUAAGCUCAGUUCUUAUAUGUAACUAACAUAUAUAGCACGCCUGCACUGCCCCUCAUUAACGUAAUACUAUUACUUUCCAUUUUAUUAUUCACCAUUACCCUUUCUUUUUUUUAAUUAGCUCCUGCAAAUGAGGGUGAUGCUUAGGGCAACAAUAGUCAAUCACAUAACUAUAACUCCCAUCUGAAAUAUGAAUUUCGAAAUCACAUUUAAAUUUUCUUUUUUUUUUAAAUCACCUCCAAAUUUAAUGACUUUUUUUUAUAUGUUUUCUAAUUUACUCUUAAGUUCUAGGAGCCAUUGAUAAUUAGGAUGCCAACUUAAGUAAUAUUUGAAUUAUAUAAACUUAAAUACUUUUUAAAAUUCAUGUCUUAUUUUUUUACAUAAUACUUAAAAUUAUCCAUAAUCUCUCUAAUCUAUGAAUAUGAGGAUGAUAAUACGUUUCAACGCAGUCAAAUCUAUCUCUUCUUACUUUGACAACAAUACCCAUAUCCAUUGAAUUAAGAUAUUAAUAAAUAUGUAGAACUUUUAUACGGUUUACGGAUUAAUAAUUUCUUCCAAAUUCUCUCACGAAAAUAUAGACUAUUUUUGCUCAUUUCUAAAAAAUAAGCUUAAUUUAAUUGUGUUUUAAAGAUUAAGUGAGCAGAAAAUGGGAUUAAAUGUGAAUAAAUUUGGUUUACAAGAUUGCCUCCAAAUCCAAGGAUAGGGACAGGAGACCAUUUCCAUCCCUUCCUAUAACCAAUACACCAAAAUGAAGGGGACCAACGGCUAUGCUUUAUAAUUUAUUAAUUAAGUUUAGACUUUAGAGAUUAAUUGUAAUUAAUUAGGGUAAGAAGUGUUUGGAAUCCCCAAAUCCAAAAUGAAGAUCUCCUACCUCAUCUCAAUGCAAUGGGACCACUUCUGUCACGUGCCACAAUCUCCUCCGACCAGACAAAUAUACAUAUACAUACAUGCGCCAUAUAUAUAUAUAUAUAUUUGAUUUUGGAAUGAAUAAAUGACCCACUCCAAAUGACAAAAAAGAUGUUAGUAAUAAUAAAAUAUGAUGCACCAUUAAUAUAAAAUAUUUAUACGUAAGUACCUAAUGCUUGACGCCUCGUGUCAUGAAAAGCAUCACUACGAAAUGUUACACUAAAUUCAUUGGGAUACACCCAAGCUAUUCCCUUUCUUUUAUGAUAAAGGGACAUUGAACACGAAACAAGAGGAAUCAUUAGUUAUUACUUUAUUAAACCAUCAUCUUAAAACUUUUAGCCUUACUCACUUUCUAAAUCAUAUUCACAUAAUAGUGUAUAACUUAAUAUUUUUGUAUCACAAUUAAUAUUAUGCGUGAAAAAUAAGACCAAAAACUAUGGCUAAAUUGACUAACCUUUGUUAACACACCUAUGGGUUAAAAGGAUAGUUUCUACGGGGCGUAAGCCUCCCAAAAGGUAAUGGAGGUGUGUAAAGGUUUUCUCGAGUCAGAUGAAGAUUGGCCCUCGAGUGCAAAGUCAGAAAGAAGUUUAAUUGUAAGACCCACCUAUCUAGUAAGGACGAAAGUCAGCUUUAGUGAUUUGAUUGUGCCGAGUGGAAGGGUCGUCGCUCAAUAGAUUAAAGUUACUCUAGAGAUAAGAGGCUACUCUUCCCUAAGAGCUCACAUCAAUGGAAAGGUUUGGCACAUCGAUUUCGGCUCUUCGUCACUUGGGGCUAUAGUAUAUUCCAAGGGUUGGGUUGUUCGCCUAUUAAAGUGAUAUGUGAGCUGGGUUCAGAACAUCCUGAGACAGUUUGUUCCAUUUCUGGUGUGGGCGUUAAAGCAUUGAGAAGACCUUUCCCUAGUACAAGAAGAUUGAGAAGAACGCACCUUUGGUGUACCAGUUAUCAUGUCUACGAUAAACGCUAGGUAGCCAAGUUCGAAAUGUCAUCCAAACAUUGAAGCUAAAUUAGGAAAAUAACGGAAGUGCGCCUCAAGAUAGGAAAGACUAAGUUUCAAGACUUGAACCCCAAAGUCACGAGACAUAUCAUCAUCAAAGCAAAAAUACUAAACCAAGGGA